rnacentral:rRNA from 1 species
ACAAUAGAAAGUAAUUUAAAGGGAUUAUUAAGGAACAAUAAAGCAAACUUAUAAAAAAGGAAGUAAAUACUAAAUGCUUAAAUUAUUUAUUUGUUUAUUUUUUUUUUACUUAUGCUCGCAGCUAUUAGCUCUAGCAACUUUAAGGGGUACGAAGGACUACAUUGUCCUACGGUUAGUUAAAAAAAAUAAAUAAUUUAUAAUUAAAUAUAAAUUAAAAAAAAAUUUUUUUUAUUUAUAUUAAACAAUAAAAAAAUUUUUUUUUUAAAAGUAUUUUUAAAAUAAGCGAUCCUAAGGUAAACCUUUUUAAAAAAUACUUCCUGAAGUAAAACAUUUUAUUAAGGAAAGGAAAGGAAAUCAACCGAGACUCCGAAAGUAAUGGCGAGUGAAAUCGGAUUAGCCAAUAAUCUUUUAAAGUAAAGGUAAAUAAAAUUUAAUAAACAAUAGCUUAAAAAAGUUAAGUUAAAAUUAUAUAUAUUAUUUAUGAAUUAUAACUUGAAAUCUUAUUAAGCCGAUAAAAAUUUAAUUAUAGUUUAUUUUGUUUAUUUUUUUAACUUAAAUAUAAUAAAUUAAUGUAAUUAUACACAAUAAAAGGUAUUCGAGUCCUGUAAAGUUAUACUUACAAAAAGUAAAAGUUAUUUAAUAAGUACGAUGAGAGAUAACUUGUCGGAAAAUAGGGGAACCAUCCUCUAAGGCUAAGUAUUAUAAGUUUAGCAAUAGCGAAAAGUACUGUAAAGGAAAAAUUUGAAAAGAAAGUAACAUACUUUGAAUUUUAUAAUUUUAUUCUAAAAUCUUAGCUUAUUCUUAUAGUUUCCUUUGAAAUCCUCUUUUAGCUUUUUUUAAAAAAAAAAAAGUUAUUUUUAGUCUUAAAGACUUUUGUUUUACUUUUAUUUUACCUCUUGGCUUUUUUUUGUAUUCUUAAUUUGAAUACAAAUAAGAAUGAGAGGCAGAAGAAAAAAGUAAACAUAGUCGGAAAGAUAAGAACAAAAGCUAACAGCCCUUCUACUUUUGUUUUGCUAUUGCUUUUUUCUUAUUUUUACAUGUACCUUAUGGUACACACAAAAGCUAACAAAAGUAAAACAAAAGUACAAUUAAAAAGAAGGGCUAAAUUAGUAAAAAACUAAUAGAGGGAUAAGAAAAGAUUGCUACCAGCUAGCCUUGUAUUCUGAUUUUUAUUUUUAUUUAUGUAAAAAUAAAAAUAAGAAUACGGUAAGGCAGUAACAAAAGUAGCCGAGUAUAAACUAUAGAAUCAGUGAAAUAGAACGUGAAUUAGUAAUUCUAUAAGCAGUCGGAAUCCUACUCAAAUUGAAUAAAGGAUGACGGCGUACCUUUUGCAUAAUGGGUCAGCAAGUUAAUAGGAGUAGCAAGGAUUAAACCUUAGCGAAAGCGACUGAACUAAUAAUAUAAAUUUAGUAUUGGGAUAGUUACUUUUAUUAGACCCGCUACGUGUUUUUGGAAAACACUAUUGUGGGUCAAACUAUCAAACUCCGGGGACACCUUAAAGCUUAUGAUACCAAGCUACAUACGAAAGUUUGUAAGUGGCUGAAGUAAUUAUUCAGGUAUGGUAACAAGUCAUAAGAUGAGUGAAAAUGAAAUAGGCAAUCGCGGAUCUAAGUCAGAAAUUUUUAAAACCCACAGCCAAAAAAAAAUUUCUGUAAAAGAGCAACGAGUAGACGGUAGUUACUUUGGUUUAUCUCCAAAGUUAAGGUGUACUCUAAUGGGCUGUGAAAACAGUUAUCAACUCAAAAUCCCUUCUAAACAAUUAAUUAAAAAUUAUUCUACUUUAAAUAGUACCUUUAAAUUGAAUCCUUGAUUUGUAACUGGAUCCUACGGACUGAUGCUGAGGGCUCAUUUAUUGUUAAAAUAGAUCAAAGCCUAAAACGGAAAGUAGGAUGACGAAUUCAGACUAACUAUCAAAUAGGAUUACAUAUACGAGAUUUAGCUGUGUUAUUACAAAUACAACAAUUUUUUGGUGGUAUAGGGCAUAUAAGUAAACCUAAAAAUAAAGAUAUGGUAUACUAUUCUGUAUCUAAAAAUAAGGAUAUAACUGAUGUCAUAAUUCCUCAUUUUAAAAAAUAUUAUUUAUUAUCUCAAAAAAGAGCGGAUUUUAUACUAUUUACUAAAAUAGUUGAUUUAAUUAAUAAUAAAGCUCAUCUAACAAAAGAUGGGCUCCUUCAAAUUUUUAAUAUAAAAGCUUCUAUAAAUUUAGGUUUAUCUAACAAAAAUAUAUUAGAGUUUUUUAAUAUUAUUCCAGUUGAUAGGCCAAAAAUUGAAACUAAAAACAUUCCAGAUCCACAUUGAAUAUCUGGAUUUGUUAAUGGUGAAGGUUCUUUCGAUAUUAAAAUUUAUAAGGCCAAAACUACUAUUGGGUAUGCAACUCAAUUGAGAUUUAGAGUACCACAACACAAUAGGGAUAUUAUUUUAAUAGAAACAUUAAAUAAAUAUUUUGAUGCUGGUUUUAUUGAAAAACAUACAAAAUUUUUAGCAGUUACCUUAGUAAUUACAAAUUUUACUCCUUUAAUAAAGAAAAUUAUACCCUUUUUCAAAACCUAUACUUUUUUAGGUCAAAAGAAAUUGGAUUUUCUUGAUUGGUGUGAAGUUUCUAGGUUAAUGAUUGAAGGGUCACAUCUUACUAAGGAUGGAUUUGAAAAAAUCAUUGGUAUAAAAAAAGGAAUGAAUAAAUGAAGAAAAAAAUAAUAUAUAAUUAAUUGCAUGAUAAAUUUGAUUAGCCAUGGAAGCCAGGUGAUCUUACCAAAACCAGAUUAUAAUGGAUCGAACGGGUGAAUGUUGCAUAAUUCUCCGAAGAGUUUUUGUAAGCGGUGAAAUGCCAAUCUGACCUGGUGCUAGCUGGUUUUCUACCGAAACAUAUUUAAGUAUGACGUCUAUCUAAUAAAUUUAUGAAGGUACAGCAAGGCGAUUCCCAACAAGUUUAAUUUAAUAACUAAAUAAAAAUUAUUAAAUUUUAUACGUUUAGGUUGCGGGGAUCUAGAAAAUCUUACCUUUGGAAGCGAAUCUCGGAAUUACAUAAAUUGAUGGUAGAUAUUCAGACUGCUCAUGCUAAGUUGGGCAGUCAAGACGGAAACAGCCGAGAACACUGAUCAAGGUCCCAAAUGAUUGUUAAGUGAAAUUAAGGACGUAGCAAUAUCGCAUACAGCUGUGAAGUGAGCCUAGAAUAAAUGACUGCUGGGCUCAAAGUAAAACUAAGCUAUAUGCAAGAAACCCCUAAAGCUUUAAAUACUUAUUUUUAUAAGUAAUAAUUUUAAAGAUAAUAUAAUAACAAUGGGCAAUUUGCAGGAAACCGAAAACUAGUAAUUAGUUAAAGGAUCCUCAACGACUAUACGCUUGGAAUUUUAAUCUUUUAUUAGGAUAAAGUUAUGACAGAGUCUAAUCCAAUUAGCGAAAGGUUUGGUUUUUAAGACCGAGAAAGAAACGGUCUACCUAUUAUAAUUUUGUAUGUCUUUUGAUUAAUUUAUUAAUUAAUUAGAGAGGAGUUGGUUCUACUCUCACUUUGAAGGCUAGUCCCCUAACCAAAGUUAAAAUAAUGAAAAAUAAACUAAUCUACAAAAUUAAAUUUAAUUAUUUAUUUAAAACACUACAAAUAAUAAAUUACAGAACCAAAAAGAAAAUUUUCUAACUCAAAUGAGUAUAGAACAAAAUUUUAAGUUAUCUUCAGGUUACAUAAGUGGUUUAACUCAAAGUGAUGGUUCAUUUUUUUGUUCAAUUAUAAAUUCUUCAAAACAUAGAUUUGGAAUUCAAUUUAGACCUAAGUAUACUAUAACGGCAGAUUUAGAUUCUAAAUUUGUUUUAGAUAGUAUACAGUCUUAUUUUAAGUGCGGAAGUGUUACAAUAAAUAUAAAUAAACACACUGCCGAAUUUGGAGUAGUAAAAUUGAAUGAGUUAUUUGAAAUAAUUAUUCCUCAAUUUGAAAACUAUCCUGUUUUUUGUGCUAAAUUACAUGCCUUUAACUUAUUUAAACAAAUAGUUAUAGCUUUAGUUAAUAAAGAAAAAAGAACAAUAGAAGGAAGAAGAGAAAUAUUAAAAAUAGCUUUAUCUAUGAAUAGAGCUUCAAAUAGAAACUUAGAAAAAAUGGAAAGCUUAUAUAAUAAAUUGGGAAUAUUUAAUAUUGAAGACCAAAGUCUAAUCAGUAACAAUAUUACAGAAAUUACGGGGCCAAUAUACGAUGAUUUUAUAUCAGGUAUUAUAGAUGGUGAUGGUAGUUUUUAUAUCUCGUUCCAACAAAACGGUGAAAUAAAAACAGGAUUUAAUAUAACUAGUGACCUAGAUUCCAAAUCUUUAUUAGAGAGUAUUCAAAAACAAUUGCAAAAUAUAGGGUCAAUACAUAAAGGUACUAAAAAUGAAUUAGUUUAUACUGUAACAGGUUUAAAUCAAAUAAAUAAUAUAGUAAUACCAUUCGUGGAUAAAAAUCCUAUAUUUUCAGAACGAGCUUUACAUUAUAAUAAGUUUAAAACAGUAAGUCAAAUUUUAAAAAAUGAAAAUCCUUUAAGCUUACAAACUAAAUUAAAAAUUGUAGAAUUAGCUUAUAACAUGAAUAAAAAAGGAAAACACAGAACUUUAAGUAAAACUCAAUACAUAGAUAAUUUAAAAUUUUUAUCCGCCCCCCCCCUCCCUCUUGUCGCCCCGUAGGGGCGUCGCUACUCCCUACGGGAGAGAAGCAAGUAGCGAGGGAGAGGGUAGGAACAAAAUUUGAUAUAGUAAAAUUUUAGUAAAAAAGCUAAGUGUUUUUAUAAAUAAUUAUACAAAAGUAGAAAUAGGAGAAUGGGCAGUCGCUACUUUUAAUGAUCGUACGUAACAACGCAUCAGCAGUAUCAAAUAUUUUUAAUAUUUAAUGAUAGUCGCGCCGAAAAUUUAACGGGUCUUAAACAAUCAACCGAUAUCGUGUUGGUUUUUUAUUAAUUGUUUUAAUAAAGAAUCUAGGUAGUAGAACAUUCAGUAAAACUGUUAAUUAAAUAGUGUUUCAUUGUUUAUUAGGUUACUGAAGAGAGAAUGCUGACAUGAGUAACGUAAAAAAUUCCUUAUAAUGGAAUUCGCCGAAUACGAAAGGGUUGCAAAUUUGAAAGGUUAAACCGUUUUGUGUUAAUGCGGCCUCUAAGGACUAUAGCAAUAGCUAUGGCUGAUGAGUAAAUAAUAGAAAGUCCAAUAAUUAAAAAAUGGACCAGGAAAAUAAUAUUAUAUAACUACCGUACCCUAAACCGACACAGGUUCGUAAGUAGAGAAUACUAAGGCGUAGAGCUAAAAGUUGUUAAGGAACUCGGCAAAUUCAUCUCAUAAGUUAGACGACAAGAGAUACCUAUUACUUUUUACAACCCUUUUUUUAAAGAUGUAAAAGUUAGGUGGCACAGAAUCGGAGGCCCCGACUGUUUACUAAAAACACAUCACAGUGCAAUCAUUAAUAUGGUAGUAUACUGUGUGAAAUUUGCCCAAUGCCAUUAAUAUAAGAGAAGUUAUGUUUAACGUGACUAAUCGAAAAUCUGGUUAAUAGCGGUCUUAACCAUGAGGAUCUGAAUAAACUUAGGGUCCUCAAUAAACUCGAUGAUAUGCUGGAACACUCUAAAGCUUUAAAUACUUAAAGUUUAAUCACUUAAAGUUAAAAUUUUAAAGAUGAAACAAUGGGAAAUCAGCAGGGAAUAUUAAAAUUCUAAUAUUACCGCUCGCGUAGCGAGCGAUAAAUUUAGAAACUGGUAUAUAAAAGUGUAAUAGAUAGUUUAAUUUAAUUUACUCUUGCGUAGCAAUCGCCCCUUCCCUCUUGAAGCGUCGCCCCGUAGGGGCGUCGCUACGCGAGGGAGGGGGCGAGCGGUCCUACGGAAUAUUUAAAUUUUCUAAUUUAUUAUGUUAGACGCUAAUUAAAAUAUAUAAUUAAAUGAAAUGUUAAAAAAGGAUGUUAAUAAUAUUAAUUAUCUUUAUUUUUUAGGUGGAUUUGUAGAAGGAGAAGGUUCUAUGUCUGUUUCUAUUACAAUUCAUAAAGAUUUUAAAUUUGGAGUAAAUAUUCAACCUAUUUUUAAUGUAACUCAACAUAAAAAAGGGUUAGAAAUAUUAAAUUCUUUUAAAGACCUUUUUGAAGAAGGAUCAGUACUUAAUAAAUCAGCCCGAAGGGCUCCUGAUAUUUUUGUUUAUACUUUGAAAGGUUAUAAAAAAAUAAUUGAAAAAAUUAUACCUUUCUUAGAAAUUUAUGUGUGUCCAUUUAGUUGUAAAAUGGAAGAAUAUAAUAUUUUUAAAGAAAUAGUUAUAAAAUCCUCAGAAGGAAAACAAAAAGAUAAAGAAACCCUUAUAGAAUUAGUAAAAUUAGCUUAUACUCUGCAAGGAAAAGGUAAAACUAGAAAAAGGGAAUUAUCCGAAAUCCUUGAAAUAAUAGAAGAUAAAAAUACUUAUUUUAAUAAAAACAAUACUUCAACCUUAAUUAUUAGUGAUAAUUAAUAGUAUUUAUAUUUUUUUUUACAAACCCCCCCCCCCUCCCCUAGCUUCGCUAGGCUUCCAAAGGGAGAGAUAGGAUUUUAUGUGCUGAAUAUAUUCCAAUUAGCAAAGCUAGUUAAUAAUAACCCUCAGAGACUAAAUAAUUGAGCAAAUAAAUAAAUUUAAAUUUUAUUUGAUGAUAUAGUCCGGCUAUUUUAGUAAUAAUUUAGAUACCUUUGCCUAAGGUAGCAAAAUCAGUUGGCCAUUAAAUGUGGUCCGGUAUCAAUAAUGUAACGAUGGUCUCACUGUCUCUACAACUUGCUCAGUGAAAUUGAAUUACGCGUGCAGAUGCGCGUUGCCUCCAGGGGGACGGGAAGACCCUAUGCAGCUUUACUGUAGUUAGUUAUCAUGCGAAUCUAGAACAAUUUAGUUUAAUAGUGAAUAGGUUAAAUCGAGAGAUAGUUGGAAACCUUAAAAACUAGAUUGGGUUUGUAUUUACCUUAAAAUUAAAAAAUAAAGGGAGAGUUGACUAAUUGGCAGUUUGACUGGGGCGGUCGUCUUUAAUAGAGUAGCAAAGUACAUCCAAAUAUUUUAAAUAAUUAGCUUAAAUUAAUUUUAUUUAAGUUCGUUUUUAACUAAAUAAGUAUUCCUUUUUAAUUAUUGUUUUACUUAAUUUAAUUUGUUUUAAUAUUAGUUUAUUUUUACAAAUGAUUUUAGGUAAUCCAUCGGACCUGCCGUCCUCGGACAAAGGUUAUAAUUUUAGAUUAAUAUUUUUAUUUUUAAUUUUCCCUCGCUCCCGUACGGGAGCGACUACUUUGCUUUUAGCUAUUUUUACUUUUGUUUAACUUUUGUUGGUGUAAGCAACAGCUUUUUGCUCGUUUAUACUUUUGUUUAAUACCAAAAGUAUAAACAAAAGCAAAAGCAACCUUUCUCCGAACUUUUGCUUCGCAAUAGCUGUUGGUGUAACCAACAAAAGAAAGGAUAGCUCCUUACAAAAGAGUCGAAAGCGUAGCGAUUGCUUCGCAAGAGGGAGAAAUUAUAUUUAUUUUUUCUUUAUAUUUUAUAAGGUAUAGCUAGAAAUUGAAUGGAGAUCAAUCAACCAGUGAAGGGUUGUGUAGAGCUCAAUGGCGGUAAGCAUACUUAACUGAAAGACUCAAAAGUCGCACAGAUACGAAAGUAGGGCAUAGUGACCCCUCGCUAUAGUAUGGGAUAGACGGGGAUCAAUUAAUAAAAGUUACGCUAGGGAUAACAGGCUGAUCGCGGACGAGAGUACACAUUGUCUCCGCGGUUUGGCACCUUUUUUUAAUAUAAAAUACUACAGUUUACAUAGUAAACUAAAUACCAAUAUAUAUUACAUCACUCUUUUUUUAAUAUAAAAAUUUAACCUUUAUUUAUUAAAGGUUAAAAAAUUAUAUUAAAUUAAGUAAUAUUCAAUAAUCUCAUUAUUAUUAUAAAUUUUAUAUUUAUAAAAGCUUUUUUAUAUUAUUAAUAUCUAUUUUUUUUUAAUUUAAAGAAGCAGAGAUUUUUCUUUCAUUUUAUUAUAAUUUUUAAUUUUAUUUAUUUUUUUUUUUUCAAUGUUUGCAAAGUAAGGUCCUUCGGAGAAAGGUAAAUAAAUAAAAAUUUAAAAAUUUAUAAGUAGUCUUACAAAAAGUAAGAAUUUUAAGAAAAUAACAAAAACUAAAAAUUAUUAUGAAUAAAAAAGUUCAAGAUAUGCUAAUUGGAGCUAUUUUAGGUGAUGCACACAUAAGAAGAACAGGGCUUGAUAAAGCUUUUAUUUCAUUUGAAAUAUCUAAUAAAAAAUCAGAAUAUUUAAACUAUUUACAUAGUUUUACUAAAGAAGCUGGUAUUCCUUUACAGGAUUAAGCAAUUAAAGAAUAUUCUAGAGAAGAUUUUAGAUAUAAUACUACUAAUAAAUCACUAUAUUUUAGAACAGAAUCGCUUGAAGUAUUAAAACCUCUAGCUGAUAUGUUUUUAGAUAAAGAUAAUAAAAAAAUUAUACCUAGUAAUAUAUCUGAUUUAUUAACACCUAGGGGUUUAGCUUUUUGAAUCAAGGAUGAUGGCCAACAAGUAAAAAGAGGGGGUUUAACAUUAUGUACAGAUAGUUAUAGUAGUAAUGAAAUUAAUAUUCUUAGAGAAACCCUUAAAAAUAAUUUUAACUUGGAAACCACAAUCCACAGUAAAAAAGGUAAAAAUGAAGCUAUUUAUGAAAGAAUAUAUCUUAAAAAAGAAGAAUUCGAAGCAUUUAAACCUGAAAUAAUUCCUCAUAUGCAUGAUUCUAUGCUAUAUAAAAUAAAUGAAAAAUUAUUAAUAAAACAAGAUUCUCGCCCCUACGGGGCGACUGAUAUUGAAAGUGAUUAUCGCCCCUACGGGGCGACUGAAUUAAUGGAUAUUUUUGACAUCGGGGAACUUUAAUAGCAAUAUUAAAUUAGAAUUAGGCUAUAUGCUGGAACCUUCUUAUAGCUUUUAAUACUAAUUAUUUCAAUUUAUUUUAAUAAGAAAUAACAGUAAAAUUUUGAAAGAUUGAACAAUCAGCAGGGAAGUUAUUUAUUUUUUUUUUUAUUUAAAUUUAAGAAUAAAAAGGUGUAAGCAACAAUAAAAAUUAUAACCCCUCAACGACUACACGCCGAUAUCCAGAAGCUUUGUAAAUGUAUUCUUACACUGGAUAAAAAUAUAGUCUAAUUUUAACUGAAAAGUUAAAAAUAAAUAAAAAUAUAAUGCGAUGUCGACUCAUCCUAUCCUCCGGGGGAAGAAGCUUGGAAGGGUUCGGCUGUUCGCCGAUUAAAAGGGUACGUGAGUUGGGUUAACACUCUAAAAGUUAAAAGAUAAAAGUAUGAAUAAUAAAAAAGAAAAUAUAUUAAGUAUUAAUAAUACUGUUGGUUACUCAGAUUUGCCUCUAGAAGUUAGGUCCAUUUUUAUAGGUACAAUUAAAGGUGAUGGUAGCUUAUAUAGAUCAUCGCCCACUUCAAACGUUAGAAUUGAAGUGAGUUUUGGUCAAAAAUAUCAAUUAUUUGCAUUACAUUUAGGAGAGGUGUUUAAAGAAUACAUGAGCAACCCUGUUAAAUCAUUAGAAGUUAAAGGUAAAGAUAAAACAUUUACUAACUAUAGAUUAAAAACAAAAAGUUUGCCCUUAUUUGUUCCUUACUACAGCAAAUUUUAUGAGUAUAACGAAGAAUUAAAUAAAUUUACUCCUGCGGAGUAAUACCAUUAGAUAUUAUUGAAUUUAUGGAUCCUAUCGUAUUGGCUUAUUUAAUUAUGACCGAUGGUAACUUUGAUAAGGUCCUUCGGAGAAAUAGAGUAAGAAUUUAUACUAAUAGCUAUAGUAAAGAAGAUGUUCAAAGAUUGGCUUUAAUUAUUAAAGAAAAAUUUGAUAUUUAUACAGGUGUACUACACGACCGAAAUAAUCAAUGGAUUUUAACGAUAGGAGCCAAAAAUUUAGAUUUAUUAAGAAGUAUUGUUAAUCCACAUUUUCAGCCUUCUAUGAGAUAUAGAAUAGGUUUAUAAUAUACUUUACACUUUGUUACUUUUUUAAAAAGCCCCUUUUUAUUACCCCCCCCCCCUCUCUUGCGUAGCAAUACGCGGUCCUUUGGGAUGGGCUACGAUAGUAGAAAAAGGAGGGCAAAAAGAAAACCGGAGAAAUAGCAAGGAACACUUUUCCUUUUUUAGGUAAGUCAAUUUGCAGCCGAGCUUGAUCUAGUGAAAUAAUUAAUUAUUUAGAUCAUGAAGGUUCAACGACUAAUAGGUGAGUUUCACUAACAAUAAACCUAACACGAAUUUCCGGCAAUCGUAAUCUAAAUUUUACGGUUGAUGACAUAGUCUGAACCAUUUUGUGAAAAAUGGAUACUUAGCUUAAAGGACUAAGUGCUAACAUAAUUGUUAAUACGACGUGAGUCAGUAUGGUCCCUAUCUUCUGGAGGAAUAAUUAGUAAAAGGGGGCAGACCUUCUAGUACGAAAGGAUCAAUAGGCUGUGUUUCUCUAGUGUACCAAUUGUUUGUAAAUUUUUAUUUAUUUUCAUAAAAAUAUGAAUGCAUAGUUGGGUAGCCACAAACAUAAUAGAUAAGUGCUGAAUGUCUAUAAAGCAAGAAUCUAACCCCUAGAUACUAAUAUAACUUUUGCUUUUUAUUAUCUUGUGAAGCUCCUUUUUUUUUUUUAAUUUUACCGCUUACCUUUUGUUUUUACUUUAAAAACAAAAGUAAAAAGCGACUAAAGAAAAUUAAAAAAAAAAGGAGAAAAAGCAAGAGAAAGUAAAAGUUAAUAAUUAAGAAAUAGAAUAUUUCUAGAUAGGCUACAAAUGUACAUAUUGUAAAAUAUUUAGUUUAGUAGUACUAAUUUUUAAA